AAGUCGCUCCAGGGCCGAUUUUUGGUGUGUCCGGGCGAGAGGUCGCGAGCGACUUUGGUGUGUCGCUCCAACGGGUCGCUCUGGAUCGGGAGCGACCUUGGUAGGUCGCUCUGAGAGGUCGCUCCAGGCUUCGCUUCGUGUCGUCUCGCCAUAGAGACGCGAGCGACCUCGGGGUGUCGCUUUGGGAGGUCGCUCCGAGAAGGGUGUGAGAUGCGAGCGACCUCGGUGCGUCGCUCUGGGCAAGUCGCUCUAGCUUCCUACGGGAUGAAUAUGGCGAGCGACUUCACGGGGUCGCUCUAGCUAGGUCGCUCUGAGAGGUGCUUUGGAGCGACCUCAUGACGUCGCUGCGGAACCUCGCUCCCAUGCUCUGCUCGUCCAAUGAUCACCUGUUUCACGUCCUUUAAGCUCCAAAUGCAUCCAAAUGUCCCCAAGAACUCCAUGUGGCACUCCAACACCUAAUGAGGACAAUGAAUGCAAAAUGCAACCUAGACAUGGCUAAAUCCUAAUCUAUAUGAUGAAAAUGCUAAUGGAUGAAUGGAUAAAACAAUGCAAAUAUGCAAGAUAUCAACAGCCUUGUAUUUCAUACAACUCCAAAAAUUUUUUUUCUUAUUACUUUAGAUUAUCAGUGUUUAUAUCCAAAAAGUAUUAUCAGAAUAUACACAACUUUGUCUGAACCUAUCUUUGGUGCACACGUUUCCAUCUCCAUCUAUAGACUCGCCGCCACCUUAUUUCGCAGCGUCAUUGCAGGGUUUCUUUUGUCUUCUUUUUCAGAGCGAUGAAGAUCAAAGUCGCAUUGUGGCAGUUAACCAAAUUUACCCUUUUUUCUCACCCUUAUCAAGAAUCAGCUCGUGAUCUUCACCUUCUUAGAGCAUCUCCAACCCACCUCUAUUUCUACCUCUAUAAUAGCAUUUAGAGGCAAAACUACUCCAACCCAUCUCUAUUUUUGCCUCUAAAAUAGAGAUUGCUAUUUUCUCCUCUAUUUAUAGAGGAAGAAAUAGCAUUCCUCUAUAUUUUGCUCUAUAUGUAGAGAUCUCUAUUUUAGAGAAAUACAUUGGAGUAAAACCCACCUCUAUUAUAGAGUUCCUCUAUUUUAGAGGUAAAAAUAGAGAAAUACAUUGGAGAUGGUCUUAGGUGACUCUUAUGCCUAUCCUAUCGUACUUAGCUUCAAUAUAUUUGAAACUUUCCUCAAUAAUAGCAUUUAGAGGUGAAAUUGCUCCAAUCCACCUCUAUUUCUUCCUCUAUAAUAGAGAUCUCUAUUUUUUCCUCUAUUUAUAGAGGAAGAAAUAGUAUUCCUCUAUUUUUUACUCUAUAUUUAGAGAUUGCUAUUUUAGAGAAAUACAUUGGAGCAUAUCUCAUCUCUAUUAUAGAGUUCCUCUAUUUUAGAGGUGAAAAUAGCAAAAUACAUUGGAGAUGGUCUCACUAAAACUGUAAGCAUCAGCUCUACAGGGUUGUAAAUUGUAACAUAAAGGAAUACUUUUCCAGCAACUCCUUACACGUGUACGGUGAAGAUAGUAUUGUAAAAAAAAAUGGACGGUUUAUGUUAAUACAAGACUGGACUCGAACUUGGAAUUGUUUCUUCUGCCAACGCAACUUUCAUCAACACGUACGUACAUAAGAGCAUCUCCAAUGGUGUUACCCACCAUUGGAGUCCUUAGCAAUAUAAUAGUAUUUUUGUUUUUUUUUUUUUUCAAUAGUUAAGGACUCUUAUCAGAAUUAUAGGUCCAAUGGUGUUAUCCAAUAUGGAAUCCUUAGUGUGUUUUUUUUUUUUAUCUUAGAAAUUUAAAAUUUAAAACAAGAAAUUAAAAAUUUACAUUUAUUAGAAAAGAAAAUGUAAACAUACAAAUAUUUUGAAUCAAAUCAAAUAAGUGUUGUAUAUAAUUUCUCAUUUUGUAAAUAAAUUAUGUUUCUUACUUGUACAACUUUUGUUAUCUUCUUAGCUUGAUUUUGUUAUGUUCUUACUUGUACAAGUUAUCUUCUUACUUGUAUAACAUAAAAGAGAAGAGAAUGAAGAGAAGCAAGAUUGUAGUUAGCUAAACAGAUUUAAACUUACAAGAGUAGAGUACAAAGAUUUAAACUUAUAAGUACUUGAGUCUAAACUGAAAUGAGUAGAGAGUAGAGAAACACAAGAACUUGAGUCUAAACUGAAAUGAUCAUACAAGUACAUUGUAGCAAGGAAAACAAGAGGAUAGAAGCUCUUAACAAGUCCGAGAUACAUAGCUAAAGAGACGCAAGCUAAAGAGACGCAAGACUACUUGACCAUUCUUCUAAUUCACCCGUGAGCUUGAAGCAAUAUCACCUACAGAACAAAACCAAAAAAGCAAGUUAAACUAGAAGCAAAGAAAGAACAAGCAAGUUAAAGACGUCUCAAGCAAGGCAAUGGAGAAGAUUCACAACGCUUUCUGCUCAAGUGUUUGCUCAGUAGUUGAGAACACUCUUUACUUUCCGGGCAUACACACAACAAGGGAGUAGUUUUCCCAUCUCCAACCAGAUUGAAGACAAAUAAGUCUCCUAUGUCGCAUCUGUUAUCACGACAGAACUUUCUCCAGCCCCUUGUAAUGUAAUACAUGCCGUCUGAUUCGCUAAAUCGCAAACUCGCAGUCCAUGAGUUUCCCUCUUUGUUCACUAGUAUCAUCUCUUGGCAUUGUUUGUUCAAAGCAGUAGAACUAGUAGCUCGCUUAGGAAGAUACUGCAAACACAUAAUAUAGUUUUUAGGAAUCAAAAUUGACUAACUAAAUCUAGUUUAUACGUAUGAAAAAUGACUCACAAGUUUGUCAGCUUUUAGAUUUGAAGCAGUGACCUCAGCCAAAAAACAGAAGUCGUAUGAGAAAGAAGACAUUGCCAUUGUUCCUCCUGAAAUAAAAGAAGCAAUUUCCACGUCAAAACAUCUCACAACAGGUAGGACCAAAACGAUGAACUUUGCUUGAAACUUACUAAUCUCAUUGUCAUCAGCAUCACCGGAGUCGGCUUCUUCCUUGAUGAUGUGAGGAUGUGUAUACUGAAUCUCACAACAGCUAGGACCAAAAGGAGUCACAUGAAACACCAUGUCUCCUUCGUGUUUGAAGAUGACAAGGUCACCGAUUUGAAGGUCGUGUGCUGUGGUGAAAUCUUUCCAACCUCCGGUGAGUGUCCUGCCUUCUAGUAUCACUUCCCAAGUUUGAUCUGAAGCGUCCGAUCUUAGUUUCCAUGUUUUCUGGUUCGUCUUCCCUUCUAUGUGCUUUGAGAAGAAGGCAAGUGGUAUUGUCUGCAAGAAAAUGCGAAGUUAAUCAAACAAGAAAUACAUCUAAUCAAGAAACGAAUGUAAACAAAUAGAGAGAGUGAGGUUCUUACGACGCCACUGUGGAAACCAGGAAGCAGAGGCUUAAAGAAAUGAGGUUCAUGUGGAAUCGCCAUCUGCAAACAAGAAACGAAUGUAAACAAUAUCAACAAUGAGUUUCCCAGCAGACGAAAACCCCAUUUCCAUUUUGAACCCAAAAUCUAUUUGAUCCCCACAAUCGAAACCAUAAAUCGAUUGUGAACUCACACCAAAACCUCUCUAAUCCAGUCGCGUUUCUUAUUAAAAAAAAAUUAAUUUUGAUAUCACGAACCAAAACCAUAAAUCGAUUGUGAACUCACACCAGAACCUCUCUAAUCCAGUCGAUAACAACAAAGAACCGAUGUGAAAAUGCAAAAAAAAUCAAACCAAUACGAAAACCCUAAAUCGAAAAAAUCCCCAAUCCGAUUUCAAACCCUAGAUUUUAUAAAACACCUCAAUCGAACCCUAAAACGAGAUGAAAUCAACAUGCAUAAACGCGAGAAUAAAAAAAAUAGAUUAAGAUCGAAUUUUACCUUCACGGAUCGAGAUCGCAAUUGGCCUCUCUGUCGUCUCUCUAUCGCCUCGCCUUCUGCUCUGUUUUUUUUUCGGGUUUCUGAAAAAAUGAGAACGGUUCGCGUGUUUUCGAACUCGCCUUACCAGAGUCAACACAAAAAACGGACCAAUCAAUAUGUGCCAACAAGAUAAGGACUUCGAUUUUUAAUCUUUAAUUAAGGAUCAUCCUUAACUUUCCUCUCCUCUUUUAAUAUUUCUUUAAUAAAAAAACAUUAAGGAUUUAUGUUAAGGAUUGCUUGAUUAUUACCGUUGCACAUGCUCUAAGUUCGUUGGGAUUGUUUCUGUCAUAUAUAUAACGGGGAAAAAACGAAAUUACGGAAAUAGGGACUAAACGGUUAUUUUGCACAUGAGCUAGUGAAAAAGGGAAACUAAACAAACGGUUAUAUAUUUGAUGACGAUCACCAGAUAGUAUUCUACUAUUCUUCCUCCCACUUUCUCUUCUCAUACUCAAUUCUCAAACACUCUCUCUCUCUCUCUGGCUUUUCUUGUCGUUCUCAAAAAUUGUUUUUUUCUGCUUAUCUCACGGAGACGUGGUCGAAUUUCUCUCUCGCCGUUCUUUUGUACGAACAAGAACACAAGCAAACAUCCGAGAAGAUCACCGUAUCUUGGAAAGAAGAAGACGAACAGAGAAUGAAGAGAAUCUUCCGUCACUUCCCAAGAAAAUCAUCGUUUCAGAAACCUUAAUGGUGCUUCUAAUUUUUCUACUCCUCUCGUCAAUUGCAACACUGUUGAGUCAGAGAAGACAGACUAAAAACCCACGAAACCCUAGUUCCCAAUCAUCUUCGUCUUCGUGCCUAACAGAGAAGAACAACACAAGCCGCCAGUGACGUGCCGUGCAAGAAGGAAAGCGUAGUUUCAAGAAAGCAAAGGUGACACCUUUAUUCACAUUGGAGAGGAAAAAUACGGCGGAUUGGAUGGUCCAUGUUGGAAACAGAUGUCAAACCAAGCCAGGGCCGUCUCUCAAUCCCUUUCCACAAACUGAUCCAAAACGACUUCUUGACUACACCCGUUGAGUCGAGAAUCACAUCAACAGCAAAGAAAAAAUGGUGUUUGGGAGUGGUUCUUGUUGAUCAAGUUUCUCAGGAGAUGGGAGAUGAACGGUUCUUGGAACUACGCUUUGGUUUGUGGGUGGAACGAUGUCGUGAAGGCUAAUGGACUGAAAGAUGGAGACAACAUUAGUCUUUGGUCUUUCAGGUGCCGAGGAGUCCUCUGUUUUGCCUUUGCUCCCCUCUGUUUUUUUUUUACAGGAAUAGACCGUGGGGAAUGAGGAUGGUUCCCUACCUGAAGCAAUCUACAAGCCCUUGAUGAGGCACGGAGGAGAGAUGGAGGUACUGCAGAGAAGCGGCACAUGAGACGUGGCAAAGGCGGAGAUGCAGAGGCACGAGCUUUGUUUUCUCAGGUAUCUUAUUAUUAUCAGGUCCAUUUAAUAUAUUGGGCUUUCAAUAUUUAUUAGAUAGAAUCCAUUUGGUUAAUAUAUGGGCCGUAUAUCAAACAUUUAGAAUCCUACACAUUCCUUUUAAUCUUAGGCCCAAUUUGACACAUAUAUUAGUCCAAUUCGGAAAGCCUAGUUUCUUUCUAUUAAUUAACUAACUUAGAUCUGGUAAAUGUUUAAAAGUAUAAUAAACCCAUAUUUAGGGAUAUAACGGUAUUAAGGGUUAGGGAUAUUAUGGAUUCGUGAUAUUAUAGAUUAGAGGGUAUUUUGGAUUUAAGGGUAUAAAGGAUUAGAGUUAUAUAGAACUAGUAACGGUAUUUUGGAUUUAAGGGUAUAAAGGAUUAGAGGUAUAUGGGAUUAGGUAUAUAUGGAAAUAUUGAUAUGUGGGAUUAGGAGUAUACAAGAUUAUAGGUAUUUGGGAUUAGAGAUAUAUAUAAAGAUUAAGGGAUAUUUGUGAUAAAUGGAUAUUUAGGAUUAGGGGUAUAUGGAAAUUAAGGGGUAUAUUAGAUUAGGAGUAUAUGGAUAAAGGCAUAAUUGAUUAAAGGAGUAAAUGAGGAUAAAGGAUAGUUGAGAUUAGGAAAAAUUGAGAUUAAAGGGGUAUAUGAGAAUAAAAGGUAUAUGAGAAUAAAGGGUAUUUGAGAUUAGGGGUAAUUGAGAUAUAAGGGGUAU